CGCGGCCUAUCAGCUUGUUGGUGGGGUGAUGGCCUACCAAGGCUUUGACGGGUAGCCGGCCUGAGAGGGUGACCGGUCACAUUGGGACUGAGAUACGGCCCAGACUCCUACGGGAGGCAGCAGUGGGGAAUAUUGCACAAUGGGCGAAAGCCUGAUGCAGCGACGCCGCGUGAGGGAUGGAGGCCUUCGGGUUGUAAACCUCUUUCGCUCAUGGUCAAGCCGCAACAUUGGUUGUGGUGAGGGUAGUGGGUAAAGAAGCGCCGGCUAACUACGUGCCAGCAGCCGCGGUAAUACGUAGGGCGCGAGCGUUGUCCGGAAUUAUUGGGCGUAAAGGGCUUGUAGGCGGUUGGUCGCGUCUGCCGUGAAAUCCUCUGGCUUAACUGGGGGCGUGCGGUGGGUACGGGCUGACUUGAGUGCGGUAGGGGAGACUGGAACUCCUGGUGUAGCGGUGGAAUGCGCAGAUAUCAGGAAGAACACCGGUGGCGAAGGCGGGUCUCUGGGCCGUUACUGACGCUGAGGAGCGAAAGCGUGGGGAGCGAACAGGAUUAAAUACCCUGGUAGUCCACGCUGUAAACGUUGGGCACUAGGUGUGGGGGCCACCCGUGGUUUCUGCGCCGUAGCUAACGCUUUAAGUGCCCCGCCUGGGGAGUACGG
rnacentral:rRNA from 1 species